rnacentral:rRNA from 1 species
AGUGAACGCUGGCGGUAGGCCUAACACAUGCAAGUCGAACGGCAGCACAGUAAGAGCUUGCUCUUACGGGUGGCGAGUGGCGGACGGGUGAGGAAUAAAUCGGAAUCUACUUUUUCGUGGGGGAUAACGUAGGGAACCUACCGCUAAUACCGCAUACGACCUACGGGGGAAAGCAGGGGAUCUUCGGACCUUGCGCGAUUGAAUGAGCCGAUGUCGGAUUAGCUAGUUGGCGGGGUAAAGGCCCACCAAGGCGACGAUCCGUAGCUGGUCUGAGAGGAUGAUCAGCCACACUGGAACUGAGACACGGUCCAGACUCCUACGGGAGGCAGCAGUGGGGAAUAUUGGACAAUGGGCGCAAGCCUGAUCCAGCCAUACCGCGUGGGUGAAGAAGGCCUUCGGGUUGUAAAGCCCUUUUGUUGGGAAAGAAAAGCAGCAGGUUAAUACCCCGCUGUUCUGACGGUACCCAAAGAAUAAGCACCGGCUAACUUCGUG